UGCAGUCGAGCGAACUGAUUAGAAGCUUGCUUCUAUGACGUUAGCGGCGGACGGGUGAGUAACACGUGGGCAACCUGCCUGUAAGACUGGGAUAACUUCGGGAAACCGAAGCUAAUACCGGAUAGGAUCUUCUCCUUCAUGGGAGAUGAUUGAAAGAUGGUUUCGGCUAUCACUUACAGAUGGGCCCGCGGUGCAUUAGCUAGUUGGUGAGGUAACGGCUCACCAAGGCAACGAUGCAUAGCCGACCUGAGAGGGUGAUCGGCCACACUGGGACUGAGACACGGCCCAGACUCCUACGGGAGGCAGCAGUAGGGAAUCUUCCGCAAUGGACGAAAGUCUGACGGAGCAACGCCGCGUGAGUGAUGAAGGCUUUCGGGUCGUAAAACUCUGUUGUUAGGGAAGAACAAGUACGAGAGUAACUGCUCGUACCUUGACGGUACCUAACCAGAAAGCCACGGCUAACUACGUGCCAGCAGCCGCGGUAAUACGUAGGUGGCAAGCGUUAUCCGGAAUUAUUGGGCGUAAAGCGCGCGCAGGCGGUUUCUUAAGUCUGAUGUGAAAGCCCACGGCUCAACCGUGGAGGGUCAUUGGAAACUGGGGAACUUGAGUGCAGAAGAGAAAAGCGGAAUUCCACGUGUAGCGGUGAAAUGCGUAGAGAUGUGGAGGAACACCAGUGGCGAAGGCGGCUUUUUGGUCUGUAACUGACGCUGAGGCGCGA
rnacentral:rRNA from 2 species